GAAAUAAUAUAUUAAGAAAAUUAAAAAAAAAAAAAAAAAAAAAAAAAAAAUCGUAAAAAGGAAGUGCAAGUUUUUUUUUUUUUCCAUAGUAACUUUACUUGGUUUUUU
rnacentral:ribozyme from 1 species